AAACUGGGGGAAGAGUAUCUCCCUCAAGGGAGGGCCGGAUGAGCUGAAGAGCACCGGAUGCAAGUGCAUAGUCGGGUUCAGCAGGUUUCUUUCUUUGCCUGUGCCUCCCAGAUGAUGGAGAGUGUGGGCAUGUGUUGGGAGAUGGGACAUAGGGAUGGUGGGGACAGCUCUCAGAUGGUGAAAUGGGGCUUCUGUGAACACCAGUCCACAUCCCCAUUCUGCCCAAGGAUAAUCUGUUGCUUCUUCCCCUCCCUCCUACCCAUCAUGAAGCCCCUCAUCUGCCCACCCAUCUGUCCAUCCAUCCACCCAACUAUCCACCUACCCAUCCAUCCGUCCAUCCAUCCAUCCAUUCACCCACCUACCCAUCCACCCAUUCAUUUGUCCAUCUGUCCAUUCGUCCACCUACCCAUCCAUUCAUUCAUCUGUCCAUCCAUCCAUCUACCCAUCCAUCCAUCCAUCCUUCCAAGACAGCUCUCUGCCCCUCCAAGCUCUGCACAGAAGUCUCCAGAAGCCACAGCAUUGACCAGUAGUUGUGAGCUGAGAUGCCUUCAGGGGCCAGGCAGGUACGUUCCAGCAGAGCAAGGUGAAAAAGAGCUGAAAUUGGCAUCAGAAGCCCAGAGUUCUGGUUCCAGCUCCGACCACUCAUUCAGUGUGUGACCUCAGGCAGGUCACCAGCCUGAGCUGUGCCUUCAUUUCAUCUGUCAGACGGAUGACUCUGCCCCUCAGAGCUUGCAGACGGCAAGGUGAGGAAUGCGGCAGCUGGGAAAGUGAUGUUGC
rnacentral:lncRNA from 1 species